UGAGGCCUGGAUCCCCAAUUCACCCCUCCAGGCUCGCCGGGGCGCACAGGGCCCCUCGCCCCUCCCCCGCCCGGCCCGGUCGGGCCCGGCCUCAGCCCCACGGCGGCCGAGUAUCCCCCGCUCCCCGCCGCCCUGCCCGGCCUGGGCCUUGGGCCUCUCUCUGCAGGCCUCGCGGUACCUGAGGCUCCCGUCCUCGGCUUCCGCCGAGAGGGAGAGGGAGAGAGGGCGUCGCUUCGGCCCCGGGCCAGCCGCCCCUGGCUCGCCCUCGCCCCCGAGAGUCCGCCUGGGUGGGAGCGCCCGUCCGUCGCAUCGCUUUCCUCAGCUCCGUCCGUCCCCUCCCUGCCUCGCUCCUGCGGGAAACGCCCGCCCCACCCCCAACUCCCGGUCUCCUCCCACGCCGGCGUCCACGGCCUUUUUUUUUUUUUUUGUACCUUGUCCGAGUGGAAAUGGCGCCGCGCGGGGAACUAAGGUUCACGCUCAGGGGGUCUCGGGCAGACCAGCUGAGAGAAGGCGCACACACGCGGGGACGCAAGAUGGCAGCUAGAGGGAGGCCGGAAGUAACGCGACGCCACUUCCUCCAGAACUCAGGAAGCGGAGUUGGCGUCGCCGCGCAUGCGCAGCCGGGGUUCCCCGUGGCGUGGUUGCGGGUCCGAUCCGCGGCUGUUUCUUUCCUUUCGUCCCGCGGCGGGCCGGGAGCCGCACGGGAGAGCUGGGAGCCGCGGUCGCCGUUCGCGGUCCUGGGAAAGGCCGCGGAUAGAUCGGACAGUGAGGCUCCCUGUAGAGCUGUGGUUAAGUCAGUGUGCCCCGUGGCCACCCCGUAGGGCGUCCAGCUUUGUCCAGUAGGCAGCAGUGUCUGCUCAAUGCCGGGUGUAAAUAAAAAACUAUCGAAAUC
rnacentral:lncRNA from 1 species